UUUCCCUGACCUACAGAAGAAGUUAAUAGAACACAACUGGAGGCAGCAGUAGCCAGUGGAGGGCAAAAACUGAACUGCUCAUUGCAUAGCUGGGACAUCACCAGAACUUUGGGAGAUAAAACUGUUUCCUUUAGAAACUCGCUGCCUGAGAGGAUAGUGGAGAUAGAACCACUCACCACAUUUAAAAAGAACCGGAAUGUUCACUUGAAGAGCAACGACUGACAAUAGUGUGGACCAGCCAAACGGGAAAUUUCUGAGAUGUGCAUUUGGAUGAUCCUUCUUCUCUCUUUCCUUCUGCUGUUUCACGGCAUCUUGAAGCACCAGAACUGAACCUUCUCAACAGCCUUGUGUGAUGAUGAGCUACUGCCUUCUCCCAAUCGAAUCUCCCUCUGAAAGAAACUCCCCACUUUUUAACUCUUCUCAGCAACCUUGCGCAACGAUGAGCCGCUGUGUCUGUGCACUUCUCCCAAUCGAAUCCCAAUGUUGCAUGAACAUGUUGAGCUGAAGGUCCUGUAUUUGUACUAUGUUUCUCUAUGACUCUAUAAUAUGAUAAAAUGUGCUGGGAUACA